GCUGGCGCCUGCGUGUGGACGGCCGGUGGCCGCGCUGGGCGAGUCGGGGGCGCGCCCGUCCCCGUCUGCCGUUGGCUGGCUUCCGGCGAUGCGGAGAGCGGGUUUCCGCGGGACCAGGUGUCCCAUGUUGUCUCCAGUGAUGGAGAACUCAGAGCAGCCUGUGUUCUGGCCUGUCACGCAUGCCUGGCAUUGUCGCACCGUAGAUUAAGCCGGCACCUGCAAUGUUACCAAAAUAUGAAUAUCAGUUUGAAUCCCAGCUACUCUGCUUCUCAUCCAUUUCCUUGAUGGUGUGCCUGGACAGACCUAGAGGAUGGCCCAAAUGUUUGGGACCCUGUCACCCAUGUGGGCGACCUGGGAGGGAGCAGAAGUGGGGCUUUGAACGUGUUGCCCUGUAGGAAGAGAAGAACCACGAUGACAGAGUCCCCACAGCACCAGGGUGGCCAGAAGGAAGAUGCCGUAGAGAUGGUCCCAGUGACAGACUUGCAGUCUGUGUCGCUGUCCUGGGGUGCAGGCCAUGACAGACUGCAGCA